rnacentral:rRNA from 1 species
CCUACGGGUCGCACCAGUGGGGAAUAUUGGACAAUGGGCGAAAGCCUGAUCCAGCAAUGCCGCGUGAGUGAUGAAGGCCUUAGGGUUGUAUAGCUCUUUUACCCGGGAUGAUAAUGACAGUACCGGGAGAAUAAGCCCCGGCUAACUCCGUGCCAGCAGCCGCGGUAAUACGGAGGGGGCUAGCGUUGUUCGGAAUUACUGGGCGUAAAGCGCACGUAGGCGGCUUUGUAAGUUAGAGGUGAAAGCCCGGAGCUCAACUCCGGAACUGCCUUUAAGACUGCAUCGCUAGAACGUUGGAGAGGUAAGUGGAAUUCCGAGUGUAGAGGUGAGAUUCGUAGAUAUUCGGAAGAACACCAGUGGCGAAGGCGACUUACUGGACGACUGUUGACGCUGAGGUGCGAAAGCGUGGGGAGCAAACAGGAUUAGAUACCCGAGUAGUC